rnacentral:lncRNA from 1 species
AAAUAGUGCAACCACUGGUUCAGUCGAGCCUAGCUCGAUAAUGUAGUCUCCCUGAAAGGUUGUAGCACGUUCGCCCUAGAGCACAACAGUUAUCUGGCACCCAUUGCACAAAACAUACUGAAAGCAAUGGCAUGCUAAUAGAGACAACAACACAAACAACAAGCACCUGACAAGGCAAGAUGGCAUACCUUAGGUCCAUGAUACUGAUACAACGCUUUGUGGAAGGCUCGCUCCUGCUCGAGCUAUGAUACUGAACAACAUCGGACAGACCAGUGAUAACGCCGAGCACAUCUAGACAACCAGAGAAAAGGAAAACAUCUUACGGGCACACACAACAAACAAACAAAGACAAUGAUCGUGUAGGAAACACACCUGUGAAGAAUUCAUGUGUCUCGAGAGGUGCAGGGAGG